GCCUGGGUGGCUCAGUCGGUUAAGCGUCAGACUUUGGCUCAGAUCAUGAUGUCAUGGUUCGUGGGUUGGAGCCCCACUUUGGGCU
rfam:Felis catus isolate Cinnamon breed Abyssinian chromosome D3, whole genome shotgun sequence.